UACGAAGGGUGCAAGCGUUACUCGGAAUUACUGGGCGUAAAGCGCACGUAGGCGGUCUUUUAAGUCGGGGGUGAAAUCCUGGAGCUCAACUCCAGAACUGCCUUCGAUACUGGAAGACUCGAGUCCGGGAGAGGUGAGUGGAACUGCGAGUGUAGAGGUGAAAUUCGUAGAUAUUCGCAAGAACACCAGUGGCGAAGGCGGCUCACUGGCCCGGUACUGACGCUGAGGUGCGAAAGCGUGGGGAGCAAACAGGG
rnacentral:rRNA from 1 species